AUUGAACGCUGGCGGCAGGCUUAACACAUGCAAGUCGAGCGGGGGAAGGUAGCUUGCUACUGGACCUAGCGGCGGACGGGUGAGUAAUGCUUAGGAAUCUGCCUAUUAGUGGGGGACAACAUCUCGAAAGGGAUGCUAAUACCGCAUACGUCCUACGGGAGAAAGCAGGGGAUCUUCGGACCUUGCGCUAAUAGAUGAGCCUAAGUCGGAUUAGCUAGUUGGUGGGGUAAAGGCCUACCAAGGCGACGAUCUGUAGCGGGUCUGAGAGGAUGAUCCGCCACACUGGGACUGAGACACGGCCCAGACUCCUGCGGGAGGCAGCAGUGGGGAAUAUUGGACAAUGGGGGGAACCCUGAUCUAGCCAUGCCGCGUGUGUGAAGAAGGCCUUAUGGUUGUAAAGCACUUUAAGCGAGGAGGAGGCUACUCUAGUUAAUACCUAGGGAUAGUGGACGUUACUCGCAGAAUAAGCACCGGCUAACUCUGUGCCAGCCGCCGCAGUAACAC
rnacentral:rRNA from 1 species